rnacentral:rRNA from 1 species
CCUACGGGAGGCAGCAGUAAGGAAUAUUGGACAAUGGGCGCAAGCCUGAUCCAGCCAUGCCGCGUGAAGGAUUAAGGUCCUCUGGAUUGUAAACUUCUUUUAUAGGGGACGAAAAAAGGGCAUUCUUGCUCACUUGACGGUACCCUAUGAAUAAGCACCGGCUAACUCCGUGCCAGCAGCCGCGGUAAUACGGAGGGUGCAAGCGUUAUCCGGAUUCACUGGGUUUAAAGGGUGCGUAGGCGGGCAGUUAAGUCAGUGGUGAAAUCUCCGAGCUCAACUCGGAAACUGCCAUUGAUACUAUCUGUCUUGAAUAUUGUGGAGGUAAGCGGAAUAUGUCAUGUAGCGGUGAAAUGCUUAGAUAUGACAUAGAACACCUAUUGCGAAGGCAGCUUACUACGCAUAUAUUGACGCUGAGGCACGAAAGCGUGGGGAGUCAAACAGGAUUAGAUACCCUGGUAGUCCACGCCCUAAACGAUGGAUACUCGACAUACGCGAUACACUGUGUGUGUCUGNGNGAAGANAUAGUAUCCACCGNGGAGUACGUCCGCGAGAGAGAACGUACAAUAGAGUUAGACGACGAGAGAGNGCCGACGGACGACGACGAGGGAGGAGGAG